rnacentral:tRNA from 1 species
GGGGGAUGCUCGAUAGAAAACAAAAGCUGCUAACUUUCGUUGCUCUGGUUAAACCCCAGGGGUCCCUCA